rnacentral:hammerhead_ribozyme from 1 species
CAAUGCUGUGGAGUCCCACAAUAGGACGAAAUGGCCGUCCAGUGC